UACAGAGGUGCUCAAGCGUUGUUUCGGAUUCAUUAGGGCGUAAAGGGUGUGUAGGUGGCGCCGUUGAGUCGGGUGUGGAAAUUUCGGAAGCUUAACUCCGAAACUGCAUUCGAUACUGCCGGUGCUUGAGGACUGGAGAGGAGACUGGAAUUUACGGUGUAGCGGUGAAAUGCGUAGAUAUUCGGAAGAACACCAGUGGCGAAGGCGACUCACUGGACACAUAUUGACGCGUGAGG
rnacentral:rRNA from 1 species